ensembl:lncRNA
CCAAAGGAUCUGGAGAGGACAUGGGAUUGGCCAGCUUAGAUCAGCGGUUCCUUCUGGUCUAUCAGUCAUGGCAGGGGAGAAUAGAGGGUGUCUCAGGGCCUCCUGCGCGACCCCAAAUCCUCUUGGUCGCGGCCUCUAGCAUCCUUGACUCCUCCUUCUGCCUCAGCUGCUACCACAUUGACGGGCUCUCCAGGUGGGCGACGUUCAGCACAGCUUCAGGGACCUUGCAGCUCUGCAGCCAGAGAACUCCUCCAGGGCCCCAGGGCCCACAGAGCACGAUAAGGCUGGACGCGGCUCCUGACAUAUACAGCGAUGCUCAAUAAACAGUAGCGUGCCCUGAGUCCCCUGACCUCCCUCCACUUCUGCACCCGGAGGAAAAUGUCACACCAAAACGCAUGGUUUCUGAUUUCUUCAGGGUCACUGAAGGGAUGGGUGACACCAUCCAGAAGUGCAGCAGGGUUGACAUCCCAUGAGGCAAACGUUGACACGGGAUGGGAGGGAUCCUGAGGAUCAAUUGCCUCCCUACCCCCUCCCAUCACUAGAUGUUCACCAGUCUGCUCAGACAGCAUGUGUGGUCCUGCACAGAAGAAGAUAUACCUGAGACCAUCAGCCACACCUGUCACAAAGCUGUGUUUUGCGAAGUUCAGCCUUGCAUUUCCCGGUGUCUGCUCUCCCCAUCUCCCUGCCUCACUCUCCACUUUCCUCACUCCUGUGACCACUGGAUCACACUCUCCAUUAGCGUGAUAAGACAAGCUUUUUCCUUGGGCUCUGCUUUCUGGGAACCAGGCCUAAGGCAGUUGGUACUAAGCAUGGUCCUAGAGAGCAGAUCGUCAAGAUGGGACGUAGGAGCUGGGUUGCCCAUCUAUCUGAAGACAGUAGGGACCACUUCGCCGUGGAGAGUGGAGUGAUGAUCACCUCUGGCAUGCAGGGCUCCACAUACACUGAACUCUAACCUGUGGUUAACGAAAUAAGGCACGGCAGGAAGGGGAGGCAUUGGGAUAUGGCGUGGCUUUGGGCCUUGAUCAGUCUGGAGGAAAUCAUAAUGGGAAGGAUGGUGGUGAGGGCUGGCUGCUUUCAAAGGCUUGAAAGCCUGGCAAAAAUAAAAUGGUGGACCCAGGGAAGCUAACUGACAACUUAAGGUAUGUUUUGAAAGGCAGAAGGUCCCUUGGCAUCUUUAAAGGAUGAAGCCACAGGGCUGAAAACUGGACCCAGGGUUUGCUUAUUAAAGGGCAGACCUGCAAAGGAGAUGAAUGCAUAGUCUCACAAGUAUCCUUAAAGUCUGUGGCAGGGAAAGAGUGGGACCCUGAAUGUCAGAUGAGCACAUUUGUGGACACAAGCCUAAAAAUCUUGAACCUCAAAUUCUCCCUGAGCCUUCUGUGCCAGAAGCAGCAGCCCACCCACCUCUGCUGGUGGAGAACAGCUUCCCUCUCCUGGAGACCAUGCGAUGACACCACCCCAGGCAGAGUGAGCUGAAAAGGUAAGGUGGUCUUCAGAAAGUAGCAUGCUUGGAUUCAGAGGAUACAGUUACCGUUAAAGGCAAGCAUGAAUGUAGGACCUUGGGACUGAGAGGUGGAGAGAAGAUGUGAGAAAGGAGGUCCAGGAAGUGAGAGCCAGGCUGCUGGAAGAAUUAUCUCUGUGUACACUGAGGUCACCAAGUAUGGUGAUGGCGCAGUGUUGGGGAAACAGUGGACCAGGAUUUUCAAAUCUUCAUGGAAUGAGAGUGAGGGGGGUGACUAGGGGUCCAUAGAGGACUGGAACGGGGAGGAGCAUCAAAGGGUUUGAUGGCAUGACUUCAGAGCAGCGGUUUGCAGAGAACACAUGAGAAGGAACAAUCGGAAAGUGCCGAUGAAGAGCCAGGAGCAUCCUCCUCCCACCUGCCAGGCCUGGUCAAGGGCUGCGGUUGAACAAGGAAGGCACCGCUGGAGAGGCUGCGGGGGAAGUGGUGUUCUCGGAGGGAAGCACAGUUUCCCCUUGGAAAGAAAUGCCGCAUUUCAGUUAGAGGUCGGAGAAAAUAAAGAUGUAGCUGUUUCUCCCGUUCCCACGCACAAACUCCAUGGACCGCAUCUUAAGAAGCCCUGCAGAUGGAGUGGAAUAUUACACAGUGGUCAAGAGACUGAACUUUUGACUCAGACAGCCUGGCUCCCAACCUCGGCUCUGGCACUUGUUUUGUGACCUUUCCAAGUGACAGUCUCCUCAUCUGGAAAAUGAGGAGCCAGCCCGACAUCCCCCAGCUGUCCUGAGGACUAAAGAACUCCUGUGUGUGGAUUCCUUAGCCCAGCACCCCAAACCUGGUGUACGCUCAGUGGGCAGCUGUUCCAUUAACAUGGGAAUCAGUAAUACGGAGCCAGCCUGUGCUCUGGACGAGGUUCUGGGCAGAGAAGUGUCAUCUCAUCUCUGUUCUCCACAGGCAGGGAGGGUCUCUCAGCUACUUUGGAACUCAGAGAGAUGCCUUUCUCACGCUGGAUUCUGAAGCCCAGCCAGGGUCCUAGCCUCCAUGACCAGAGAGACAGAGAGUGGAAGGGAAAAGCCAGGCCCGAGGGAAUAGGGCCUUGCGGUGACACACUGGUCAAAGGAUGGCGCUAUGUGAGGAGUGACAAGGGCAGGGACUGGCCAGCUCCAAGAGGUGCUCCCAGG